UCCAGACUCCUACGGGAGGCAGCAGUGGGGAAUAUUGGACAAUGGGGGGAACCCUGAUCCAGCGACGCCGCGUGAGUGAAGAAGUAUUUCGGUAUGUAAAGCUCUAUCAGCAGGGAAGAAAAUGACGGUACCUGACUAAGAAGCCCCGGCUAACUACGUGCCAGCAGCCGCGGUAAUACGUAGGGGGCAAGCGUUAUCCGGAUUUACUGGGUGUAAAGGGAGCGUAGACGGUGCAGCAAGUCUGAUGUGAAAGGUCGGGGCCCAACCCCGGGACUGCUUUGGAAACUGCCUGACUGGAGUGCUGGAGAGGCAAGCGGAAUUCCUAGUGUAGCGGUGAAAUGCGUAGAUAUUAGGAAGAACACCAGUGGCGAAGGCGGCUUGCUGGACAGUAACUGACGUUGAGGCUCGAAAGCGUGGGGAGCAAACAGGAUUAGAUACCCUAGUA
rnacentral:rRNA from 1 species